rnacentral:rRNA from 1 species
UACGUAGGGGGCAAGCGUUGUUCGGAAUCACUGGGCGUAAAGCGCACGUAGGCGGAUCUUUAAGUCGGGGGUGAAAUCCUGGAGCUCAACUCCAGAACUGCCUUCGAUACUGAGGGUCUUGAGUCCGGGAGAGGUGAGUGGAACUGCGAGUGUAGAGGUGAAAUUCGUAGAUAUUCGCAAGAACACCAGUGGCGAAGGCGGCUCACUGGCCCGGUACUGACGCUGAGGUGCGAAAGCGUGGGGAGCAAACAGG